ACCUUGUUUCCUUUAUUUUGCAGAGAAUAAAGAUGAAAUAGCAGAUGCCACAUCGAAUAAGUUCAUCUCCAUAAUCAACCAAGUGGAAUGGAAAUCAUCCAUACAGAAGCUAUUUUACUCACUCUCUUUCUGUGUGCUUUGCUGUUUUUCUUUGUUAAUACAGAAACGACAAGUCUACAAGCUAAGUAGUGAAACAAUAUUGUACUUUUACAGUUUUACCUUCUCUCAGAGUGUAUCUGAUGAAGUUCUAGCUUUUUAUUGAGUAGUAUUCAUCAAUUAUUUACGACCAUGAUAAUUUUUGCUUGAAAUACCUAGGUCUUUACAUCACUGAGACCUUGUUCAUCCUGCUUAAAUGGCAAUCCACUAAUGUGUAUGAAUUAUAAUUUGCAGUAACAAAGCCACGAGAGCAGGUAGCAGAUGCAGAGACCUUGUUAGGGCUGACCAACAUAUUAAUGGACUCUGUCAGAUCACAUACUGCAGUAUGUGUUACCCCACCGGAGUUCGUUUCUUGCUUGAUCAAACAAUUCGGCCUGCUGAAAAGGCGGAUAUUGGCUCUUGCGUUUCUCCUAUUUUCAUGAGUGGUUCCGUUCCGGCUGCAGGACAAUGAAUGGACCUAUGCUAACUGUGCUCAAGCUCAAGCAAUGGAAGCCAGUUGUUCGUGCAAAAAGAGCCAGAUCAUUGAAGAGAACGCAUCCAGAAGAGUUCAAGAUUGCUGUAGAUUUGAUGUCAGACACUGAUAGAAACAUUCGUGCGAUGUUUGAGGUAUUGAAGAGAAGGAAAAAAAGUUCGAGUUGAAAGCCUCAUCUUAAAUAGGGAUUCAUUUUCAGAGUAUUGAGAACUUGUUUGCAAUGUCGUUCUUAGUAAAAUACGGUAGAGUUCAUAUAUAUGUAGACGAGACUGGUGCUAGAGUCGUCGGUGUUGAAGUUUGCCUACAAACUUUGACUUUUGUCAAACUUUCUCAUCCCACAUCGAUGGGGAGUUAGAAGUUGGGGGCGUAGCUGCCUAUAAAAGAACACUCUCCCCUCAUUUGUAAUGUAUCCUCAAAUAUUGUAUUCUCUUCUCCAUCUAUAUAUAAGCGGGCUCUGCAGAGGGUGCUCGGAGACGCAGGCAAUUUGGCCGAACUCCGUUAUCAAA